UUUAUAAAGAGUUUGAUCCUAGCUCAGGACGAACGCUGGCGGCGCGCCUAACACAUGCAAGUCGAACGGAGCUGAGAGGAGCUUGCUUUUCUUAGCUUAGUGGCGAACGGGUGAGUAACGCGUGAGUAACCUGCCCUGGAGUGGGGGACAACAGUUGGAAACGACUGCUAAUACCGCAUAAGCCCACGAUCCGGCAUCGGAUUGAGGGAAAAGGAUUUAUUCGCUUCAGGAUGGACUCGCGUCCAAUUAGCUAGUUGGUGAGGUAACGGCCCACCAAGGCGACGAUUGGUAGCCGGACUGAGAGGUUGAACGGCCACAUUGGGACUGAGACACGGCCCAGACUCCUACGGGAGGCAGCAGUGGGGGA
rnacentral:rRNA from 1 species